rnacentral:lncRNA from 1 species
GGUUUGGGCAGGUGGGAUUCAGGGAGAGCACUGAGCAGUGGGGGGGACAUCCACCUUUGGUUGAGGUCCCCCCUGCACAGGUUGUUGGCUUCCCCUCUCAGAUCACCAAGGGGGGGGGGGGCGGAUUUAAGCAUCUGACUCAGACCCCCUGGAGGGGAGACAGGCUGUGCCUCUCCUGAUGCUCCCGGACCCCCGCACUAUUGCUGGGUUCCCGACGCCAGGACCGUGACUGCUGGUCUGUGUUACCCGCUCUCCCACCCAAGGCGUGCCCUCUUCUGUGCAGGUGCUGGCUCGGCCCUGGCCCUCAGGCUCCUGCGCGCAUGGCCCUGCCGGCCCUCUGCUGCCCCCUGCGGCCCUGCGGGGAAAGCUGCCCGUCCGGGCCUGGCUGAUCCCCUCUCUGUGCAGUGGCUCAAGUGGACUUAACGGCCAGGUUCUUGGUGGGGCUCAAGGUCAUUCCCCAGGCAUUGGCCUGUGCUGAGGUGACUGACUCCAGCCCCAGGGUUCCUGCUGAAACCCUGCCCCACCAUCUCCGGCCCCGUCAGUCAUUAAAGGUCUCACCUCUGCUGCUACCGUCACCAUCGGCCUUGGGCAGAUCAAGGGAAUUUAACGGGAGCAGUGCACAGAGAAGCUGGGUGCAGGGGGCACCCUCGUC